rnacentral:sRNA from 1 species
UAUCUGCCAUGUGAUUACUUUUCCAUCACCAUGGUUGAUGAGAUCCUUACUGUGUACUUACUGUCUCCAAGCGUCCCCAGGCUUCCAGCCAGCAUGCAGCAGCCAACAUUGGCUUCAGAAGGAAGGAGGUUUGCAUUUCCUUCUCUUGGGUCCAGUGUCAUGGUCUCAGGGUUAUCUCCAAUGUGGAAGGUUGCUAGACCAGGAGCAGUUUGACUCCACUGUUUUUCAGUCUAGCAAGUUUGAGUUUUUCCCAAGCUCUUGAUGUGUGUUCAAAUGAAUGUUCUCCCUUUCCCAAGAGACCUCCCUAUAAGGGAGGGUCUAGUUUCCCGGAGUGCCCUGAGAAGAAGGGGUCAGCAGGAGGGACGAAUGGUGGAGGCUGAGGCCUCAGGCAGGUGCCCUGUGAGGAGUGGCUGUGACAAGCGGCUGAGACCCCAGCAAAGGGUUGUUGCCCAGAAUCUGGGGCCUAAGCGAGGUUAGAAAUCACAAAUGCACUUGGUUUCUCUAGCAGCUGGCACAUGGUAGGAUCACCCCAGGAGUGGCACCUUCGAAGAGAAAGGAACGCAUGAGGCUCCGAGAGCGGUUGGCUGGCAGCCAGGGCCUGGCUGGGGAGGGAGGGCAGGUGGUGCGCUGACCUGGGGAUCUUUGAGAGCCUGCAGGGUAUGUGGCUGAAGCGGCCCAGCUGGUGAACCACUGAAGACGGGGCUCAUAGGUAGAUGGAGGAAUUGCCAGGUCAGAAUCUCGGUAGGAGAUGACUUGAGCUGAUGCUGCCUGGCACUUAGGGGUUUAGAAGAUAUUAGGAAGGAAGCCCCACAGCGUGCCCAAGUGCCAUGCAGGCCCUGGAGACGGUCAUUGGAGGGCGUCUAUGUGGAUGGCGUGUGGGGGAUGGGAAGUCCCUAAUCUGCUGGGGCUUUCUCAGCAAGCAGGGACUGAGGGGGAUAGUCCCCAGUGCAUGGACCCCAGGGAGAAGGGCCUGUUUCACUGGGGUUUGGAGAGUGUUGAGGGUAAGCUAACCUGUCACCCCAUGCUCCCGAGAAUGGUUACUGAUGGGGAGAGGCCUUGUCCUUGCAGGAGAUGGCGUCUACCAGAAGGGGAUGGACUUCAUUUUGGAGAAGCUCAACCAUGGGGACUGGGUGCAUAUCUUCCCAGAAGGUCAGCAGGGCUGACUGGGUCGAGCCCCCCCAGUAUGAGCGGGAUGGGCUCCCAAGCCUCGCCUCUGUGCUCUCUCACCAGGGAAAGUGAACAUGAGUUCCGAAUUCCUGCGUUUCAAGUGGGGAAUCGGGCGCCUGAUUGCUGAGUGUCAUCUCAACCCCAUCAUCCUGCCCCUGUGGCAUGUCGGAAUGAAUGACGUCCUUCCUAACAGUCCGCCCUACUUCCCCCGCUUUGGACAGAAAAUCACCGUGCUGAUCGGGAAGCCCUUCAGUGCCCUGCCUGUACUCGAGCGGCUCCGGGCGGAGAACAAGUCAGCUGUGGAGAUGCGGAAAGUCCUGACGGACUUCAUUCAAGAGGAAUUCCAGCGUCUGAAGACUCAGGCAGAGCAGCUCCACAACCACCUCCAGCCUGGGAGAUAGGCCUUGCUUGCUGCCUUCUGGAUUCUUGGCCUGCACAGAGCUGGGGCUGAGGGAUGGACUGAUGCUUUUAGCUCAAAUGUGGCUUUUAGACAGAUUUGUUCAUAGACCCUCUCAAGUGCCCUCUCCGAGCUGGUAGGCAUUCCAGCUCCUCCGUGCUUCCUCAGUUAAACGAAGGACCUCAGCUGCUUCCCCCACUUGGCCAAGCAGGGAGGAAGAAGCUUAGGCAGGGCUCUCUUUCCUUCUUGCCUUCAGAUGUUCUCUCCCGGGGGCUGGCGUCAGGAGGGAGCAUAGAAGGCAGGUGAGCAACCAGUUGGCUAGGGGAGCGGGGGGCCCACCAGAGCUGUGGAGAGGGGACCCUAAGACUCCUCGGCCUGGCUCCUACCUACCACCCUUGCCGAACCAGGAGCUGCUCACUACCUCCUCAGGGAUGGCCGUUGGCCACGUCUUCCUUCUGCCUGAGCUUCCCCCCCCGCCACAGGCCCUUUCCUCAGGCAAGGUCUGGCCUCAGGUGGGCCGCAGGCGGGAAGAGCAGCCCUUGGUCAGAAGUCAAGCCCAGCCACGUGGAGCCUAGAGUGAGGGCCUGAGGUCUGGCUGCUUGCCCCCAUGCUGGGGCCAACAACUUCUCCAUCCUUUCUGCCUCUCAACAUCACUUGAAUCCUAGGGCCUGGGUUUUCAUGUUUUUGAAACAGAACCAUAAAGCAUAUGUGUUGGCUUAUUGU